UUUUGGAAGCGAGAGCCGCUCUCCGUGAGCUCCUCGUCCAGCGGGCGCCCCGUGCUGAAGACAGCGGCUUUUUUUUUUUUUUUUUUUUUUUCUGCACCUUUCACCCCGAGGCACACCUCCGCCUCCUCUCCGGGGCUCGUUCCGUCAGGCUGGAGGAGAGCAAGCGGAGGCACUUGCGCCGGGGUCCUCGAACGCCACGGAGAAAGUUGACGAGGCUGCCAGGAAGCGGACUCUCCUGUUGAUUCAGGUCCUUCUGUUCGCCCCGCACGAUCCUCACGGACUGUUUCACCGACAGCAUUUCCCGACCUCUACAUGGCAAAGUUCUUGGCUGAACUACUGGGAUGCACACUUCCGGACAAGGGCACUCCACCUGUGUUCGAGUGUCGGAGCCAACCCCACCUUGGGCUGAGGCCGGCCUCCAAACAGCGGCCAACUAUCUUUGGGACAUUAACCAAUGAGAGGGCACGGUUUGACAACAGACUGGGAGGCGUCUGAUUGGCCCCAAAUCCAAUAUGCAGCACGAGAGAACGAGCCCAAACACACGGCCAGACUCAUAGAGAACUGUCUUCAGAGACAAGAAGAACGAGGAGUCCUGCGACAGGUGGUCUGGGCCCCACAGAGCCCCGAUCUCAACAACAUGGAGUCGGUCUUGGGAUCACAUGAAUAGACAGGAGACACUGAGACGGACUGAAUCCACAGAGGAACUGUGGCAAGUUCUCCAAGAUGCAGUUUUAAAGGCAAAAGGGGGGUCAAAACAAAUGCUGAUCUGAUUUGAGGUGAUUUCUCUUCACUGUGUAUGAAGUUACCUGAUAAAUAAAUAAACAAGU